rnacentral:antisense_RNA from 1 species
UUUUGCGUUUGGUUUAUUAUCGACAAUCGCGUUUCCAACAGCAUGCAAUAGGUGGGUUUUACCUAAACCUGUACCGCCAUA